rnacentral:lncRNA from 1 species
AAUUUUAUAAAUUAUUUUGGUAUCUUUUGGAUAAAAAAUGAAAUUACUAAAAAAAAAUUAAAAAAAAAGAAAUUUAAAAUAAUAAAAGAAAAAGAAUUAAAAUCAGAAAAAACCAUGCAGAUCCAACACUACAAAUGGUGAGAAACACGAUGGAAUGCGCUGCAAGCCAAACACAGGAUCCAAUUUGAAUUUAACCAAUCAAAAACAUUUCAAAUGCCAAUGUGUGUGGUCCAAACUCAUACCACCUAAGAAAUAC